rnacentral:rRNA from 1 species
GACGAACGCUGGCGGCGUGCUUAACACAUGCAAGUCGAACGGAAAGGCCCUGCUUUUGUGGGGUGCUCGAGUGGCGAACGGGUGAGUAACACGUGAGUAACCUGCCCUUGACUUUGGGAUAACUUCAGGAAACUGGGGCUAAUACCGGAUAGGAGCUCCUGCUGCAUGGUGGGGGUUGGAAAGUUUCGGCGGUUGGGGAUGGACUCGCGGCUUAUCAGCUUGUUGGUGGGGUAGUGGCUUACCAAGGCUUUGACGGGUAGCCGGCCUGAGAGGGUGACCGGCCACAUUGGGACUGAGAUACGGCCCAGACGCCUACGGGAGGCAGCAGUGGGGAAUAUUGCACAAUGGGCGGAAGCCUGAUACAGCAACGCCGCGUGCGGGAUGACGGCCUUCGGGUUGAAAACCGCUUUCGCCUGUGACGAAGCGUGAGUGACGGUAAUGGGUAAAGAAGCACCGGCUAACUACGUG